rfam:Brachypodium distachyon strain Bd21 chromosome 5, whole genome shotgun sequence.
AUAUUACUCCCUCCGUCCAACAAAAGAUGUCUCAAUUUUGAUUAAAUUUGAAUGCAUAUAUACAUUAAGUCACAUCUAGAUACAUCCAAAUUUUGACGAACUUGAGAUAUCUUUUGUUGGACGGAGAGACAUGUU